rnacentral:rRNA from 1 species
UACGGAGGAUUCAAGCGUUAUCCGGAUUUAUUGGGUUUAAAGGGUGCGUAGGCGGCCUGUUAAGUCAGGUGUGAAAGACGGUAGCUUAACUAUCGCAGUGCCCUUGAUACUGAUGGGCUUGAAUAUACUUGAGGUAGGCGGAAUGUGACAAGUAGCGGUGAAAUGCAUAGAUAUGUCGCAGAACACCAAUUGCGAAGGCAGCUUACUAAGGUAUGAUUGACGCUGAGGCACGAAAGCGUGGGGAUCAAACAGG